GUCGAGGGGUAGAGGCUUUCGGGCCUUGAGACCGGCGCACGGGUGCGUAACGCGUAUGCAAUCUGCCUUGUACUGGGGGAUAGCCCAGAGAAAUUUGGAUUAAUACCCCAUAGUAUUUUCGGUUGGCAUCAACUGAUUAUUAAAGUUUUUCGGUACAAGAUGAGCAUGCGUCCCAUUAGCUAGUUGGUAUGGUAACGGCAUACCAAGGCUACGAUGGGUAGGGGUCCUGAGAGGGAGAUCCCCCACACUGGUACUGAGACACGGACCAGACUCCUACGGGAGGCAGCAGUGAGGAAUAUUGGUCAAUGGUCGCAAGACUGAACCAGCCAUGCCGCGUGCAGGAUGAAGCAUCUAUGGUGUGUAAACUGCUUUUGUACGGGAAGAAACACUCCUACGUGUAGGAGCUUGACGGUACCGUAAGAAUAAGGAUCGGCUAACUCCGUGCCAGCAGCCGCGGUAAUACGGAGGAUCCAAGCGUUAUCCGGAAUCAUUGGGUUUAAAGGGUCCGUAGGCGGCUUUAUAAGUCAGUGGUGAAAUCCGGCAGCUUAACUGUCGAAUUGCCAUUGAUACUGUAGGGCUUGAAUUGUUGUGAAGUAACUAGAAUAUGUAGUGUAGCGGUGAAAUGCUUAGAUAUUACAUGGAAUACCAAUUGCGAAGGCAGGUUACUAACAAUACAUUGACGCUGAUGGACGAAAGCGUGGGUAGCGAACAGGAUUAGAUACCCUGGUAGUCCACGCUGUAAACGAUGGAUACUAGCUGUUUGGUUGUAAGACUGAGUGGCUAAGCGAAAGUGAUAAGUAUCCC
rnacentral:rRNA from 1 species